GGGCCACUCCCGACCCUUGGCUCAUACAGACUUGUGGGAGCACUGUUGCUCCUUCGUUCACCUCACUUGUUCAGUGUUUUCUGAGAGCCAGCUUUGGACAGGCUCGGUUCUGGGUGCUAAGGGAGGUGGGGUGUGAGGCACACAGCCUGGGCCAGGGGCCUGGGUUUGGCCUCCUGAGGCUGUGAGGCCUCAAGACAUGGGAAAGGAGGCACGCGGGGGUGGCCUGGCUUCUGACCAGGACUGGUGUGGGCAGGUGGGGAGGGUGCUGGGCUCAGAGGGUGCCCAGGAGACUGGACCCAGAGUCCCUUGUGCUGUGGAAAAGGGUGGGGCUAGUGGUGACAGAGUGGAACCUCAUUUCUGUGUCCAAUUACGGGCCAGCCUUGUGGGGCUCUCGCGUGUGCGUGCAUGUGUGUGGGGCAGGCAGGGGUGGGGACCCAGUGUACGUGAGGCUGACCUCUGCUCCCUUGGACAGGCAGAGAGGACCCAGGGCUGAGUUUCUUCUCUCCAUGGGCCACGAAUACCCACAGGUAUGGCAUCUGAUAAGGAACAAAGAGGUUUCCGUGACCAGACCGGUUCAAAAGCAUUCCUCCAAUCCAGCGACCGCACGUCUGGGUGUACAUCCAAAAGAUUUGAAAGCAAGGUCUGGAAGAGAGAUUUGCACCCCCAUGUUCAUAGCUGCCUUGUUCACAGUAGCAAAAAGGUGGAAGCAAUUCAAGUGUCUAUCAUGAGAUGAACGUAUAAACAAGACGUUGUCCGUCCACGUAAGGGGAUAUUAUUCAGCCUUAAAAAGGAAGGGAAUCCUGUCACACGCUGCAACAUGGAUGAGCCCUCAGGGUAUGAUGCUAAGUGAAAUAGGCCAGUCACUGAAGGGCAAACGCUGUGUGAUUCUACUUAGAUGAGGCAUCUCUAGUCGUCAAAUGCAUAGAACUGGUUGCCAGGGCCCAGGAGGAGGAGGCCGGGGGAGGAGGUGUUUAGUGGGAACAGAGUUUCAGUGUUGAAGAUGGAAACCUCCCGGAGAGCUGCUGUCCGACAGCCACAGCCCGCAUUCACUCUACUGAGCCAGGCACUUACAAGUGGUUACGAUGGGAAGAAUCUGUUAUAAGACGGCCGACAGGACUGACAGGGGAAUUUGUCCCUGCCCGAAGACUCCCCUUCCUGGUUCUUCUUCCUGCCAAAUUGCUACGAAUGCUGGAUGCAGAAAUAACAGACUCUAAAUUGUCCCCCAUGCUUACGCUCAGGACUCAGACCUCUGGAGAGUGAUGUCCUCUGAGCCCGCUGGUGUGAAAUAAACCUCCUGCCUUCCAAGAUCUCCGGGUGCUGUUUGGUUCUUCUGCCAGGUGAUCCAGACCAGGUUCCGUGACAAAAUAAGUUACAUAAAUGGAAUCAGAUAGUCUUUUGGGGUUGGCUUCCCCCCACCCCCCUCAGGACAGUUCCCUAGAAACUCAUCGAAGCAUAUCAAUAGUUGACUCCUUUGUGUCACUGAGUGUAUUCUGUAGGAUGGGUUGACCACAGUGUUUAGAUGUGUGAACAUCUAAGGACAGACAUCUGGGCUGACUCCAGUUUGAGCUGUUAUACGUAAAGCUGCUAUGAACAUUCAUUCAGGUUUUGGGGGAACAUACGUUUUCAUUUCUCUGUAAUAAAUCCCCAGGACCGUGACCAUAAGCCCUUCCUAGGAUGACAUUAGGUAAUCCUCAUUUGUGAUCAGCUCGUUUCUUUAUUUCUUUUUUUUUUUUUUUUUAACGUUUAUUUAUUAUUGAGAGAAAGA